UGUGGGAGCACAGGUGAAGGCAGUUCUGCUGUGUAAUUAGAAGGGCUGGAGCCUGGCUGCACCUCUCCUAGAUCCCCUUUAAGUGCUGACUGGCACAGAGUACAGUUUUCUUUCUGUAGAUUACUCCUUGUGGAGUUUAUUGUGAGCCUGCAAGAUUGGUGAGCAUUUUUCACUUAUUAUCUUUCUGCUGUGGUAAUCCUACUUAGCCUAACUUCUGUAAGCUUGCUGAAUGUACAGACUGGAUAUCAGCAGCACUAUGAAUUCUUGUGCCUUUAAGCACUUGCUGCUAGUAUAGGAUGCCCCUGAGGAGUGAAAUCCUGGCACUCAUUACAUUCAGUGUGCUUCCAAUUACUGAUUUCAGUAAGGCCAGAAUUUAACUUUUUCUUCCUUUUGGUUGGCUUCUUUCAGCUAAAAUCUUUGGUUUGCCUAUGUUGUUCAAUUCAGUUGGAAUGGAAUUAAAUAUGGGAAAGAGAUGAUUAAACAUUUUGCAGGAAGAGAUUAAGUGGUUGACUCUUCAUAAUAGGUGAUUGAUUUAGAUGCUAAAAUGACCCACCAGCACCUGUCUUGAAAUAGUGUAUUUGUCAUUUAAUGGAAGCAAGGCUCAGAACUCAUUGUUCAGGCCAUUACAAUUUCAUUUGCAUCUGCUUCUGUUUUCUACUCUCAUUCUACUUGAACGUGCUAGAAACACUCAUUAAUAGCCAGUGUGUUUUCCUCUCUGUAAUGGUUAAGCCUGUUAAUGAAACUAUAAACAAUAUUGUAUGUGAGACAUACAAUACAUACUUUCAGAUUGUAUAUGAAGCAGGGUGAGAAAGUACUGAAGGAUCCAGGGUGUUACUGACAAUUUUUUGUCUUUAUUUAGCCAAUCAGUAGCAGGUGUGCUCACUGCUGGUCCACCACCUUGCUCCAGUUAACCUGUUAUCACCCUCUUUUCCACUUUUUGUUGGACACUUUUUCUUUUUGCAAUACAAAGGGUGUUUUGAAUAAGAAGAAAAAGAAGAAUGUUUGCUAGGUUUGUGCUAUCAAAAGUACUUCCAGGAAAGGAACAUAAUUCCUGAAAUCUGUGGCUGGUGGGGAACCAUUUUGCACAGCUGUAGCUUAAUAAAUGAAAUGCCAAGGCUAAUUUUAGUGAACUACUUUGCAAGUAUCAGGUAUAUCUAGCAGCAGGUUAUUUUUACCUCUGUUUUAAACUAAAAGGAAAAAAUAUUCUGAAGGGACCUUUAAUUUAAAAUUUAAAGCAAGCUGACUAUUGCAUUUUGUAGCUCCCACCAGCAGAAAAACUGAAAGCUGAACAGUAUUCUAUGGGGCUGCUGGAUCACAGCCUGAACCUCUGAUUAAUCAGCUGAGGAGAGCACUGAGUCAGCCACAGGAGCACAGGUGAAGGCUAUUUAUUUGCUCCACCCCUCCUAGCCCCAUUUAAGAGCUGACUGCCGGUGGGGAAGGAUCUCUUCUGGAGAGCUACUGCACUGGAGUUUGUUAUGUGAGCCCAGAAUAGGGUUCCUCAAGAAGUUUUCGAGAAGUCAUCUUUUGCUCCGACUGUCAGUGAAGUCUUACCGUGAGAAGAUGUGGGAAAACAGAACGCAGAGCAAGCCCUGGACAGAAGGACGUCAUUUGUUCAACUGGAGAAGUUGAGUGGACACCUACACUAGGACAGUGGGAAUCUGCUCCUAAUUGUCAGGGAAGAUGACUUACUGCCGAAUAACAGGAGGAUUGCUGUUGGUUUCCUUGUAAACCCUCUAGUGUUGCCAAAUGAGAGCACGGGGAAAAUAGUUUGCUGCGUGCGAUGACUCAGUGGAUUUCAGCCGUUCGGCGGUGCCGGGAAGCCACUCCAGCCACUCAGGCCAAUCCUACAGCCCCUGCUCGUAACACCCAAAAGAGCUGUUCAUGCUGGGAAGGAUGCUGCAGGCUCAUUUUUUUUCGCCGGGGGGGAGCGCCGCUCGGCACAUCCCUGGGCAGCGUGCCGCUCGCAGAGCAGGGGGAUGCCUGGGGAGUUAGCCAGCCCACCAGCCCAGCCACACGCGUGACGGAGAGCAGAGCGGCGUGGGCUGGCCCGCUGUUCGCAAAGCCUUUGUACCUCGGGUUACUUGUAAGGCUGGUGCCUGGAGAGUUCAGCGAAA